GACGUAGGGCGCGAGCGUUGUCCGGAUUUAUUGGGCGUAAAGAGCUCGUAGGCGGCUUGUCGCGUCGACUGUGAAAACUCGGGGCUCAACUCCGAGCUUGCAGUCGAUACGGGCAGGCUAGAGUUCGGUAGAGGAGACUGGAAUUCCUGGUGUAGCGGUGAAAUGCGCAGAUAUCUGGAGGAACACCGGUGGCGAAGGCGGCAUCCUGGACCAACACUGACGCUGAGGAGCGAAAGCCAGGGGAGCAAACGGG
rnacentral:rRNA from 1 species